rnacentral:rRNA from 1 species
AGUGAACGCUGGCGGUAGGCCUAACACAUGCAAGUCGAACGGCAGCACAGUAAGAGCUUGCUCUUACGGGUGGCGAGUGGCGGACGGGUGAGGAAUACAUCGGAAUCUACUUUUUCGUGGGGGAUAACGUAGGGAAACUUACGCUAAUACCGCAUACGACCUACGGGUGAAAGCAGGGGAUCUUCGGACCUUGCGCGAUUGAAUGAGCCGAUGUCGGAUUAGCUAGUUGGCGGGGUAAAGGCCCACCAAGGCGACGAUCCGUAGCUGGUGUGAGAGGAUGAUCGGCCACACUGGAACGUGGACGGCCUCCAUGGGCCUGCGAGAGGCAGCAGUGUCGAAUAGUGGACAGUGGGCGGAAACAUUAUUCAGCCAUCCGGAGCGGGUGAAGGAGGCGUUGGGGUUGUAAAGCCCUUUUGCUGGGAAAGAAAAGCAGCAGGUUAAUACCAAGCUGGUCUGACGGUAAUGAAAGAAUAAGCACCGGCUAACUUCGUG